rnacentral:lncRNA from 1 species
UUUCAUAUGUGCAUGUGAAGCGGAUCAAGAAUCAGCUUUGAUUUGGCUAAGAAAUGAGAUGACUUAGUAGGUAUGAUAUUUGUGUCUUUACCUUCCACUCAACCAUAUUCACUUGGGCCUUUAUAUUCCAAUCUAAUUGUUCCAUUUGUUUGGACAGGUUUGGGUGAUCAAUCGGUGAUGCUUAGCACAUCUGGAGGUUUCUUAUUUUGAAUUGACAUGCUUAGUUCUAAAGUGAUGUUUCUUCUUAGCACAUCUGUUCUAUCUCUUAGAUGUUGAAGAUGUCAGUCUAUCAAGAUUGCUCUUUGCGUUUGUUGGCAAG